rnacentral:tRNA from 1 species
GGGGACGUGGUCUAACACGGCAGGACGACAGGCUCCAGACCUGUUGGUUGUGGGUUCAAAUCCCACCGUCCCCA